AUGGCGUACUCUUGUUUGCCCUUGUAUGCGGCUUCCUUUCUUGUAGUGCUUCUCGUUUUGCCUCUCAUGGCAGUGGCAUCUGCCGCCGCGCCCGCUGCCGAGACGUCCUACGAGACCAAGUCCAUGGACCCCGGCCUCGCCCUCAUGACGCUGCCGCAGCCCGUGUCCGGCCCGGAGAGCCUCGCCUUCGACCGCCGCGGCGGUGGGCCUCACGCCGGCGUCUCCGACGGCCGCGUCUUCAAGUGGCGCGGCCGCCGCCUCGGCUGGACCGAGUUCGCGUACAACUUCAGACACAAGCAAGCAUCGAUCCUGUGCAUCCAUUGUACAUACAUGCACGUACGUAGUGGUCAUAACCUUUGCACACCUGUGUGCGUUGGUGUCUUGUGCAGGAGCGUGGGGAUGUGCGCGCCGAAGAAGAAGCUGGUGGUGCCGGAGAGUGUGUGCGGCCGACCGCUGGGGCUGCAGUUCCACCACGAGUCCGGCGACCUGUACGUCGCCGACGCCUACCUGGGGCUGUUGAGGGUGCCGGCGCGCGGUGGGCUGGUGCAGGUGGUGGCGACGGAAGCCGGCGGCGUGCCCUUCAACUUCCUCAACGGCCUGGACGUCGACCAGAAGAGCGGCGACGUCUACUUCACGGACAGCAGCAGCACAUACCGAAGAAGCGAGUACCUACUGGUGGUGGCUCUGGGCGACGAGACCGGGCGGCUGCUCCGGUACGACCCGCGGACGCGCCGCGUCGCCGUGCUCCACGCCGGCCUGUCCUACCCGAACGGCGUGGCCGUGAGCGCGGACGGGUCGCACGUCGUGGUGUCGCACACGGCGCUGUCCGAGCUACGCCGGUACUGGGUGCGCGGGCCCAAGGCCGGCAGGAACGAGACGUUCGCGGAGCUGCCGGGGUUCCCGGACAACGUGCGCUCGGACGGGCGGGGCGGGUACUGGGUGGCGCUGACUCACGGUGGCGACGACGGCGUCGCCGCGCCGACGGUGGCCGUGAGGGUGGGCCGUGACCGCGCCGUGGAGGAGGCGCUGGGCGGGUUCAGCUUCGAGACGGUGAGCGAGGUGGGCGAGCGGAACGGCACGCUCUGGGUCGGCUCCGUCGACACGCCCUACGCCGGCGAGCUCAAAAGACACUAG
rnacentral:rRNA from 1 species